rnacentral:misc_RNA from 1 species
UUUCCGUAGGUGAACCUGCGGAAGGAUCAUUAUUGUAUAACCGAGGUGCGAGGGCUGUCGCUGACCCGAAAGGUCGUGCACGCCCGAGUGCCCUCACACACACAUCCAUCUCACCCCUAUGUGCACCACCGCGUGGGUCCCCCUUUGGCUUGUCCGGAGGGGGGCUUACGUUUUCACACAAACUUUGUAUGCAGUGUAGAAUGUAUUUUUUGUUUUUGCGAUCACGCAAUCAAUACAACUUUCAACAACGGAUCUCUUGGCUCUC